AUACAAUGAUGUCGACAUCUUUUCAUCAACUCUUUAUAUCUUUCUCAAGUUUCAUAUAGUUAUUCUCCUUCCUGCUGCACAAAGGAUGUAAUUUUCCCUCGCAGUUU